rnacentral:rRNA from 1 species
GAAACCGGGUGAUCUAGCCAUGGGCAGGUUGAAGGUUGAGUAACAUCAACUGGAGGACCGAACCGACUAAUGUUGAAAAAUUAGCGGAUGACUUGUGGCUAGGGGUGAAAGGCCAAUCAAACUCGGAGAUAGCUGGUUCUCCCCGAAAGCUAUUUAGGUAGCGCCUCGGACGAAUACUACUGGGGGUAGAGCACUGUUAAGGCUAGGGGGUCAUCCCGACUUACCAACCCUUUGCAAACUCCGAAUACCAGUAAGUACUAUCCGGGAGACACACGGCGGGUGCUAACGUCCGUCGUGGAGAGGGAAACAACCCAGACCGCCAGCUAAGGUCCCAAAGUAUUGCUAAGUGGGAAACGAUGUGGGAAGGCUCAGACAGCUAGGAUGUUGGCUUAGAAGCAGCCAUCAUUUAAAGAAAGCGUAAUAGCUCACUAGUCGAGUCGGCCUGCGCGGAAGAUGUAACGGGGCUAAGCAAUACACCGAAGCUGCGGCAAUAUCUUUUAGAUAUUGGGUAGGGGAGCGUUCUGUAAGCCGUUGAAGGUGAAUCGUAAGGUUUGCUGGAGGUAUCAGAAGUGCGAAUGCUGACAUGAGUAACGACAAAGGGGGUGAAAAACCUCCUCGCCGGAAGACCAAGGGUUCCUGUCCAACGUUAAUCGGGGCAGGGUGAGUCGACCCCUAAGGUGAGGCCGAAAGGCGUAAUCGAUGGGAAACGGGUUAAUAUUCCCGUACUUCUGACUAUUGCGAUGGGGGGACGGAGAAGGCUAGGUGGGCCAGGCGACGGUUGUCCUGGUUCAAGUGCGUAGGCUUGAGAGUUAGGUAAAUCCGGCUCUCUCUAAGGCUGAGACACGACGUCGAGCUGCUACGGCAGUGAAGUCAUUGAUGCCAUGCUUCCAGGAAAAGCCUCUAAGCUUCAGAUAGUCAGGAAUCGUACCCCAAACCGACACAGGUGGUCGGGUAGAGAAUACCAAGGCGCUUGAGAGAACUCGGGUGAAGGAACUAGGCAAAAUGGUACCGUAACUUCGGGAGAAGGUACGCUCUUGAUGGUGAAGUCCCUCGCGGAUGGAGCUGACGAGAGUCGCAGAUACCAGGUGGCUGCAACUGUUUAUUAAAAACACAGCACUGUGCAAAAUCGCAAGAUGACGUAUACGGUGUGACGCCUGCCCGGUGCCGGAAGGUUAAUUGAUGGGGUUAGCGCAAGCGAAGCUCUUGAUCGAAGCCCCGGUAAACGGCGGCCGUAACUAUAACGGUCCUAAGGUAGCGAAAUUCCUUGUCGGGUAAGUUCCGACCUGCACGAAUGGCGUAAUGAUGGCCACGCUGUCUCCACCCGAGACUCAGUGAAAUUGAAAUCGCUGUGAAGAUGCAGUGUACCCGCGGCUAGACGGAAAGACCCCGUGAACCUUUACUACAGCUUGGCACUGAACAUUGAACCUACAUGUGUAGGAUAGGUGGGAGGCUAUGAAGACGUGACGCCAGUUGCGUUGGAGCCGUCCUUGAAAUACCACCCUUGUAUGUUUGAUGUUCUAACUUAGACCCGUUAUCCGGGUUGAGGACAGUGCCUGGUGGGUAGUUUGACUGGGGCGGUCUCCUCCCAAAGAGUAACGGAGGAGCACGAAGGUGGGCUAAUCACGGUUGGACAUCGUGAGGUUAGUGCAAUGGCAUAAGCCCGCUUAACUGCGAGAAUGACGGUUCGAGCAGGUGCGAAAGCAGGUCAUAGUGAUCCGGUGGUUCUGUAUGGAAGGGCCAUCGCUCAACGGAUAAAAGGUACUCCGGGGAUAACAGGCUGAUACCGCCCAAGAGUUCAUAUCGACGGCGGUGUUUGGCACCUCGAUGUCGGCUCAUCACAUCCUGGGGCUGAAGUCGGUCCCAAGGGUAUGGCUGUUCGCCAUUUAAAGUGGUACGCGAGCUGGGUUUAGAACGUCGUGAGACAGUUCGGUCCCUAUCUGCCGUGGGCGUUGGAAGAUUGAAGGGGGCUGCUCCUAGUACGAGAGGACCGGAGUGGACGAACCUCUGGUGUUCGGGUUGUGUCGCCAGACGCAUUGCCCGGUAGCUAAGUUCGGAAUUGAUAAGCGCUGAAAGCAUCUAAGCGCGAAGCGAGCCCUGAGAUGAGUCUUCCCUGACGGUUUAACCGUCCUAA